AUGGCGCACCCCAAGUCCCAUCUCGCCUGCUUGUUCCUCGCCCUCGCCCUCGCCGUCCUGACCGCCGCCGCGUCGGAGCCUUUGCUUUCGGCGGCCGUGACAGCCAGGGCGCCCGCUCCCUCCCCCAACGGCGACUUGGUAGCGAAACCAUCGGCAUGGGGAUGGACAUGGUGCAUCAUCCCCUGCUUUCCGUUUAUACCAGAGAUAUUUUGCAUACCACCAAUAUUCUGUCCACGGACGCCGCAACCACCGCCGCCAUCACCGCCUCCCCCGCCCCCAUUGAAGCCUCAGCCGAAGGAGUGCCGGACGCCGCUGAUGGGGCUGAUGCCGUGCAAGGAUUUCCUCACCAGCAGCACCGCGCCGGAGCCUCCGAACCAGGGCAAGUGCUGCGACGGCCUCAGGUCGCUCGUCCAAGACGCUCCCAUCUGCCUUUGCCGCAUACUGGAGGGCACCGAUCUCGACAAGCUCAUGUCGGCGACCGUGGAUAGAGAGAAAUUCAUUCGUACGAUGAUCAUCUGCGACUCGAGUCCGGGUGAAUUUGGUUCUUGUGAAGG
rnacentral:rRNA from 1 species